UAACAGUUCAGGCAGACGUAGUGAGAAGGACAGACCGAAGAGACGAGCCUUCAGCACAGCACAGCAUGGCAGAGAGAAGCACAACUGUCAGGGAGACGAUCCCGAUAAAAUACGAAAAUCAGCAAGAAAUGCGGCGGCCGCGCAGGUAGAAGACAAUGGAUAGCGCCCGUCUCACAUAUGGGAACCAUUGAAGUUAGAAAAAUGGGCUGAAAGAAGAAUACCAAUGUUUUGAUAUUUGAAAAAAUGUUUGUCAUCCGGAUGGUCGACCAAAUUUAUGACUAGGGGGAUUGGAAUGACCAAGACUUAAUCAAGGCAUGAACUGUCAUUCCCACCCAAUGAAAUAAGAAGACAGCUAUGUACCCAAUUCUACGGGAAGUGGCGACAACUGCUUUGUCAUCAAGAUGGCGACUGGGAUUUGGGAGCUAAUUGGAUUUUUGAAAAGCUAACUGCUUGGAUUUUUCUGGAUUUUAUUUGACUGUGUCAAUUAGAAUUACUUAAACUUUCACAUGGACUCUUGUGCUGGGGAUUCUUUGGACUCAGUUGUUUGAAUAGGCUAUUGUAAUAGUUGCUUUUACUGCAUUCAAUUACAGAGUGCUUUUCUACUUCUGUGAUUUCUUAAUGCGCUGUUAUUUAUAUUAAAUAAAACAAUGUUUUUUCACUA